rnacentral:tRNA from 3 species
GCCCCGAUAGCUCAGUCGGUAGAGCAGGGGAUUGAAAAUCCCCGUGUCCUUGGUUCGAUUCCGAGUCCGGGCACCA